UUCAGGAAAAUGAAGCUAUCAAAAGGCAAAGCUAGAUGAUGCAAAAUCAAGACAAUGAAACAAGUGUUAAAAACAACACUACCAAUCUGAUUCAGGAAAAUCAAAGCAAUCAAAAAGGCAACGAUGGAAAAAGCCUCUUCUUGCACUGGGUCAAAAGAAUUAGGUGUUCGUAUUCCAACAAGGACGAUGACUCUGAUUUUUUCAAAAGAAGUCAAUUCAGAACAAAAACGGUC